rnacentral:tRNA from 1 species
GCACCCGUAGCUCAGCCGGAUAGAGCGCUGCCCUCCGAAGGCAGAGGCCAGAGGUUCGAAUCCUCUCGGGUGCGCCA